GACGGUCUGGCAGCUCUCUCACCCAUUUCCAGUGACUUUCUGAUCAACAUCGCUCCUUUGGCCGGGAUACAGAGCCGCUGAGACCCUCUGCUUUCAUGCACCGUUAGGCCGAUCCCAUAGAUGUCCAGCUCUCUUAUUCCUCUGCUGUCCGCCGAGAGUCUUCUGCACUCAUUCAGCCUUGAAAGGACCACUUUUAAUCAAGCAGACAAGCAGCGGAGUGUCAAAAUUACUGCCAAGAGAAAGGACAUUAAGAGGCUUUCUUCGGAAGGAGAAAGAAAAAGAAAAUCAAUAUUCAAACACAAAAUGAAUCUGACUAGACUGUGAACUUCCCUUCAAAUGGCGAAGGAAAUGGGAUAUGAAAGAUGACCUGCCAUAAAAACCGAUAUCCCACAAUGCCAUAUGUAAGAGCUGAGGAAAUAACGACAACGACUAAUGAAAGUUGAAGCUGGAUUCAGCAGAGGUUUAUAUCAACAGAGAAAAACUUGACGGAGGUGGCUCUGCUGACUCAGUGGAACAGCAAAGCCCUGCUUAAACACAGCUGGCCAUGUGAGAAACAAUUGAUUCCACCAGAACUAAUGGGGAACAUGAACCUUUUUAGGACUGCAGAUGGAAGAUAACAAAAGCACCCUCUUCCUCAUCACCUUCCUCUCAGCCGCCAUCAGAACAGCAGAUUUCAAAACUGAUCCAUGUCAUCCAGACGAUUUCCAUUUCAAUCUGUUUUUACACCUCAUGGAAGGAAGGCCAUGUGCACCAGGGAAUCACUCAUGUGUUUCCCUCCGAACGACGAUAAAUUGAAGGGCCGUGGUGAAUAACGAUAAAAAGGAUUUUAUAAGUUACCAUUCCAUUCGCAUUGGCUUUCCUGUAAUGCAAUCAGGAUGAAUCAUGGCACUGUGUUUUCCACUGAGUCACAUGUGGCAUAAGCUUGAUUUAAUCUGCGUAUUAGAUAUUAAAUAUUUGUGAUUCCAAAUCGGCUUUUACAAUGUUGAGGGAAAACGCAGAUGCUUAGUUGCAUGCAAAGUUGAAAUCACUUUACCUGAUGCCUUUGCCAAGGAAUAAUAAUUUCUGUGUGCCAAGGUCAAGGGUAUAACAGAUUUUCAAAUGCACAUUUUCUAUGAAUAAUAAUAAUAAAACUAAAUAUGAUG